UGACUAUUCAGUUAACAAAUUUCCAAUUUGAUUUCGUGAGUUAGAUGCACAUCACGGGCUUCCCUUGAGUUUCUUGGCAACGAUAGCAAUGUGCUUACCCUGAUGGAAAGCUUGCCGUUGAAUUGGUAGCUUGUCUGAAAUUGCCAUUGGAUUGGUAGCUUGAGGGAAGAAAUGACCAUACUGCAGACAAAUAACAUAUGUAUUAGAAGCGUGAUGGAAGCAGAAUGUUGUGAAUAGAAUGGAUAGCAACUCACAGAAUUUCCAGGUUUGAAUUCAGAGGAUGUCCUCAAACGCACGAGACAAUUAAAGACAUAUGGGUGGCUUAAGAUACGAUACCUGAAAAAGAAGUAAUUAAACUUGUAUAAACUCCACGUAUAGCUAAGAUGUCAAAUUUUUGAGUAACCUUAAUGAGAAAAGAUGCACCAGCAACAAACAAGUUUUUGA